rnacentral:rRNA from 1 species
UCACCCUCUCAUUGUAUGUCACCGCACUAUAUACACGCACGUCGUCAGCAUUACCACUGUGAAGGGCCCAUUAGUAAGCAUAAUUGGUAUUACAAAAAACGUCAGGUCGAGGUGUAGCAAACGAGAGGGGAAGAAAUGGGCUACAUUCACUGCCCCAGUGAAUACGGAUGAUGCACUGAAACAAACAUCUAAAGGAGGAUUUAGCAGUAAGAAGGGAAUUAGAGCAUCCCCCUGAAACUGGCCCUGAAGCGCGCACACACCGCCCGUCACUCUCCCCAACCUAAAAUUAAUAAUAAAUAAAUAACUAUAAAGACAAAGGGGAGGCAAGUCGUAACAUGGUAAGUGUACAGGAAGGUGCACUUGGAAAAA